rnacentral:rRNA from 1 species
CCUACGGGCGGCAGCAGUGGGGAAUAUUGGGCAAUGGGCGCAAGCCUGACCCAGCAACGCCGCGUGAAGGAAGAAGGCUUUCGGGUUGUAAACUUCUUUUCUCAGGGACGAAGAAAGUGACGGUACCUGAGGAAUAAGCCACGGCUAACUACGUGCCAGCAGCCGCGGUAAUACGUAGGUGGCAAGCGUUAUCCGGAUUUACUGGGUGUAAAGGGCGUGUAGGCGGGAAAGCAAGUCAGAUGUGAAAACCAUGGGCUCAACCUGUGGCCUGCAUUUGAAACUGUUUUUCUUGAGUACUGGAGAGGCAGACGGAAUUCCUCGUGUAGCGGUGAAAUGCGGAGAUAUGAGGAGGAACACCAGUGGCGAAGGCGGUCUGCUGGACAGCAACUGACGCUGAGGCGCGAAAGCGUGGGGAGCAAACAGGAUUAGAUACCCCGGUAGUC